UGAAUACGAGACGCUAAGGCGUCGAAGUAGUGUAUGUCAUACUUCCAAGAAAAGCUUGCACUGUCAUAGAUAAAAAACGCCUGUACCAUAACCGACACAGGUGGGUAGGUAGAGUAUACUAAGGGGCGCGAGAUAACUCUCUCUAAGGAACUCGGCAAAAUAACUCCGUAACUUCGGGAGAAGGAGUGCCUUAUUCGUAAGGUUGCAAUAACAAGAUCCAAGCAACUGUUUAUCAAAAACACAGGUCUCCGCUAAGUCGUAAGACGAUGUAUGGGGGCUGACGCCUGCCCAGUGCCAGAAGGUUAAAGAAGUUGGUUAGCAAUUGCGAAGCUGAUAACUGAAGCCCUGGUGAACGGCGGCCGUAACAAUAACGGUCCUAAGGUAGCGAAAUUCCUUGUCGGGUAAGUUCCGACCCGCACGAAAGGCGUAAUGAUUUGGAUACUGUCUCGGAGAGGGGCUCGGUGAAAUAGACUUGUCUGUGAAGAUGCGGACUACCUGCACCAGGACAGAAAGACCCUAUGAAGCUUUACUGUAACUUGAAAUUGAAAUUGGACUUUAUUCGCGCAGUAUAGGUGGGAGGCGUUGAUUAUAAUCUUGUGGGAUUAUUGGAGCCAUCAGUGAGAUACCACUCUUGUAAUGUUAGAUUUCUAACUUUGAAUCAUUAUCUGGUCAAAGAACAGUUUCAGGCGGGCAGUUUGACUGGGGCGGUCGCCUCCUAAACGGUAACGGAGGCGUACAAAGGUUUCCUCUGAACGGUUAGAAAUCGUAUCUAGAGUGUAAAGGCAUAAGGAAGCUUGACUGUGAGACCUACAAGUCGAGCAGGGACGGAAGUCGGUCUUAGUGAUCUGACGGUACUGAGUGGAAAGGCCGUCACUCAACGGAUAAAAGUUACUCUAAGGAUAACAGGCUGAUCUCCCCCAAGAGUUCACAUCGGCGGGGAGGUUUGGCACCUCGAUGUCGGCUCAUCGCAUCCUGGGGCGGUAGUACGUCCCAAGGGUUGGGCUGUUCGCCCAUGAAAGCGGUACGCGAGCUGGGUUCAGAACGUCGUGAGACAGUUCGGUCCAUAUCCGGUGUAGGCGUUAGAAUAUUGAGAGGAGCCUUCUUUAGUACGAGAGGACCGAGAAGGACAUACCUCUGGUGUACCAGUUAUCGUGCCAACGGUAAACGCUGGGUAGCUAUGUAUGGAGUGGAUAACCGCUGAAAGCAUCUAAGUGGGAAGCCCACCUCAAGAUAAGUAUCCUCAU
rnacentral:rRNA from 1 species